rnacentral:rRNA from 1 species
AUUGAACGCUGGCGGCAGGCCUAACACAUGCAAGUCGAACGAGUGGCGGACGGGUGAGUAAUGUCUGGGAAACUGCCCGAUGGAGGGGGAUAACUACUGGAAACGGUAGCUAAUACCGCAUACCAUCAGAUGUGCCCAGAUGGGAUUAGCUAGUAGGUGGGGUAAAGGCUCACCGAGGCGACGAUCCCUAGCUGGUCUGAGAGGAUGACCAGCCACACGUGAACUGAGACACGGGCCAGACUCCUACGGGAGGCAGCAGUGGGGAAUAGUGCACAAUGGGCGCAAGCCUGAUGCAGCCAUGCCGCGUGUAUGAAGAAGGCCUUCGGGUUGUAAAGUACUUUCAGCGGGGAGGCGUUACCCGCAGAAGAAGCACCGGCUAACUCCGUGCCAGCCGCCGCGGUAAUAC